rnacentral:rRNA from 1 species
UACAGAGGGUGCGAGCGUUAAUCGGAUUUACUGGGCGUACAGCGCGCGCAGGCGGAGCUGGACGUGCCGUGUGACAGACCACCGCUCACCGGUGGAGGGCCACGGUACACGACAGCUCUGGAGGCAGGGAGAGGGAUGUGGAAUGCCCGGUGGAGCGGUGAAAUGCGUAGAGAUCCGGAGGAACACCAGCGGCGAAGGCGGCAUCCUGGACUGGUCCUGACACUCAUGAGCGAAAGCGUGAGGAGCGAUCCGG